ACGACACCCAUUUUCUUUAUACCCUAGUAUUCAUUUGGCUAUGUUUGAUUGGUUUUAGGUUGGGGUGACCACGGAGCAUAAAAUAACCUCCACGAAGAAGAGACUAAUAAUCUUUAUCAAAGAAGUACACUUCUAAGAAUUAACAAAUUAAUUUCCAAUGAUCCGAUAUUCGAUCAACGAACCAAGUUACCCUGGGGAUAACAGCGCAAUCCACCUCAAGAGCUCCUAUCGACAGGUGGGUUUACGACCUCGAUGUUGGAUCAGGAUAUCCCAGUGGUGUAGCAGCUACUAA
rnacentral:rRNA from 1 species